rnacentral:rRNA from 1 species
CAGCGCCGCGGGAAUACGAAGGGUGCAAGCGUUACUCGGAAUUACUGGGCGUAAAGCGUGCGUAGGUGGUGGUUUAAGUCCGUUGUGAAAGCCCUGGGCUCAACCUGGGAAUUGCAGUGGAUACUGGGUCACUAGAGUGUGGUAGAGGAUAGUGGAAUUUCCGGUGUAGCAGUGAAAUGCGUAGAGAUCGGAAGGAACAUCUGUGGCGAAGGCGACUAUCUGGGCCAACACUGACACUGAGGCACGAAAGCGUGGGGAGCAAACAGGAUUAGAUACCCCCGUAGUCCCUGUCUCUUAUACC